ensembl:lncRNA
CCCAGGCUAGGGGUUAAAUCAGAACUGUAGUUGCCGGCCUAUGCCACAGCCAUAGCUACACAGGAUUCAAGAUGUGUCUGCGACCUACGUCACAGCUCAAAGCAAUGCUGUAUACUUAACCCACUGAGCAAGGCCAGGGAUGGAACCUCAUCCUCAUGGAUACUAGUUAAGUUUGUUACUACUGAGCCACAAAGGGAACUCCUGAUUCAAUAUUUUUAGAUUAUACUUCAAUGAAAGUUCUUAAAAGAUAAUGGCUGUAAUUCCUUGUACUGUAUACUACAUCCUUGUUUCUUAUAUAUUUUAUGCAUAGUAGUUUCCACUAUUUUUCUUUUAACCUAGAAAUUACAAAUGGGCAUAAUAUUAUUAGAUAUUAAUUAUUUAAUGCUUUCUAUAUACAGAAUUAUAUAUUAAUGUAUUCUCCAAAUUGAAUCAUUUAAACCACUUUAAAAAAUAAACUUAGAUUCAUGAAGGCUACGUAAUUUGCUCACACUCAAAGCUAGUAUAAGAAUGUAACAGUUUAACACUUUUUUGUUUUUUGUCUUUCUAGGGCCGCCCCCCCUACAUAUGGAGGUUCCCAGGCUAGGGGUCUAAUCAGAGCUGUAGCCGGUGGCCUUCGCCAGAGCCACAGCAAUGCAGUAUCCAAGCCACAUCUUUGACCUACAUCACAGCUCAUGGCAACACUGGAUCCUUAACCCACUGAGAGAUGCCAGGGAUCGAACCCGCAACCUCAUGGUUCCUAGUCGGAUUCAUUAACCACUGAGCCACGACGGGAACUCUGACAGUUUAACACUUUUAAAAUAAUUAUUUUGAUCUUAUGAGUAUUCAAUGGACUCCAUUAUCACAAACAUAAGUGUGGAGAUGGUUUCAAGAAUAUGUAAAGUAUUUACAGUAAAAGAAUGGGAAGCAUAAUUGUAAAACAUUUAUCAAAUUUAUUAUCCUUGGUAACAUUUUCAUCUUUUCCAUCGUAGACAUCUUGUUUGCUUUUCCAUAAUGAUUAUCAUAAAGUUCAGAGUGGAAAGGGGGCUACUGUAAAGAUUGACACCCACUACAUAGCCAGUUCCUUUGUAUCCAAGUAAAUAUUGACCUGAUCUAAGUGAUGAAGUUAAGACAUAUGCACUGAAAGGUAAUAGAUUGAAGAAACUGAUGAAUCUUAAUUUGUUCUGUCUAGUUCUCAUAUGUUCCUUAUCUCCAGAUGCGUUAGGUGGCCAGUUACCAAAGGUAGCUGACAUCAGCUAAGUUACUCUGUCUACUUUUCUGAAAUGGAUGUUCUUCAACUGGCAUUAACAUGUAUUUCAAAGAUGUUCCCACACUGUGACCAGACACAUAGUUCUUUUCACAUGCCUCUUUCUCAGACUUAUUUUUCCUUGAUUUUAUAAUUUUUCCUCUUCCUGUUCCAAACAGCAAGGAAAGUACCACUGCCCAUAUCUACAUGUAUAAAGUCAUACCUCAGGCCACUUGUGUUUUUAUACAUAGUACAAUUUUUCUUUUUUUAUACAGGGUACACUUUGUAUUACCAGGUACAUUACACUAAAACUUUACUGCUGGGGGUGGGAGAGGUUUCAACUUUUCUGUUUUUAUGGCAACCUCUGGGAAAGAAUACACUGCAGUUAGAGUCUAUUUUUGGUUUGUACCCAAAUACUGAGCCAAUAAAUCUAUGAAAUAAAACUCAGCCUUUGUCUUCCCCUAUUAGCUGGUCAUAUGUGUUUGGCCUCAUACAAUCAUAGUUGUGGACUGAGGAUGAAGCACUGGUGGAACUGUUGUGGAUGGCACAGGGGGCUGGGGAAUCUACUAACACAUCUUCCUUGAGACCUCCUCAUAUGUUUAUGACUUGUUUUAGAUGUACUACUUCUAUUUUAAAAUGGAUCAAUGUUAUUAAUACACAGUCCUAUUAGUUUGUGGCCUUAGAUAUUAAUAGGCACUUCUGACCUCUAGCCUACUUCAUAAUACAUAGUUAUUUACCUCUUGCUUCAUUUUAAGCCAAGAGAUGUUUCUUGGAAAGUGGAUACCUGUCUGCUACGACCAGUACGGUCUUGUAGUGGGCUACACUGUGAUUCUCUUACCAGGGCUUUCCAUGUGCUCUAGACAGCAUCUGUUUCUAAGGGUGAUAUUGCUCAAACCACAGCUUAGAUAUGCUGAAGAAUCCCUUCUAAUUUUGGACUCCACCAAAAUUGGCAUCCUUUAAUGCCAUCUGAUAUAUAUGUCAAAGGAAUAUUCCAAAGUGUAGGAAAUGUAGUUUCCAGAAACCAAAGAGAUAUACCAGAUAUUAUGUCUGACAGUACGGGGGAGGUGAAGAAUGUGAUGCCCCAGAAUAUCAGGCUCAAAAGAGUUCAUUGAUGUGACCAGGAUCUGAAUCGUAUAAAGUCCUUGUUAAGAACUGUAAGGAAGUUGAGAUUCUCUCCACCUUGCAAGCUAAAAUUGUUACCUUUUAACACUUUUGUGAGUACUAGAUGAAUACAGAAAACCCCUGAAUUGGAGAUGAAAGAUUGUGUUACUCACAGCAUAACAAGCAUCAUGAGCAUCAUGUUUGUCUCAGUUUUCUUUGCCACCAAAAUAUGUUGUGGCGAUAUGAAGACCUCCAGGUAAAUGCUGUGCACACAGUGGGUUUGCACCACAACUGAGGCACCCUGAGCUUAGUGAAUUGAAAUGUUUUAAAAUGAGUAGUAAACUGCCUGACCCAUAUCACAGAGUGGACUUUGUUUUCAUCAUUGGCAGUAACAGAACUACUCUUUGUUCUGGAAAGUGACAUUGCAUUUUCCAAGUCUCAUUGAUAUACAAAUGUUCUUGAAAAGAUAGUCCAGAAAAAAUACAGUCAGUACCUCUGCUUAUGAACAUGUAGAAACGCUAGAGACCCAUGAAGAAUUGUCUCCCAAAAGACCUUAAAUGUACUUGUCACUUCUUGUUCAUCUGGUCUGAUCUCUUUGGGGAGAGAGCGAAGGCCUUAUUACCAUAUAUAUUUCCCAUGGUGUUGUAGGGUUGUUCUCCCCAGAGACCCAGUUUCUCUUUCAGUCAAUGUAUUAUAGAAGGGGAAAAAAAGUGGAUGAACUCUGAAAUUUUAGUGAGGAAAUCAUCAUUUUUAUUAAGGCAUUAGCUCUUACUCCCUGAUUAUCCAUACAUGAUUUCUUUUUGUACACAUUAGGCAAUAUUUUUGUUGGCAGACUGUUUCUCUGUCCCAUAGGGCUGACAUGCUCCAUGAACCAUCUCCAAACCUCUCUACUGAUAUGGAUUCCCCAGCUGUCACAAUGGCUUGGUUGCUUAUUAUAAGGGCUGUACCCGCUUGUCUCUUCUGGCUGUUGAACGCUGACACUUGGCAUUACUAUAUGGGGAUCCUGUCAACCCCAUUGUUUAGUGAGCCCAGUUGGGUAAUAGCAUCUCCUGCCAUUACCUAUGAUCUGUAAGAGGAUAACUUCCACUGAGCUUCUUCGUGAUACUGGGCUCACUUUUACAAUAUACUCUUUCUUGUUUUGAUACGAAGAGGUUUUCUCUCUGGGUUCUCAUGCAGAACAUGGCCAUAUUACAGUCUUUCUAGCUUUAUGAAGAAUAUCCAGUCUCUGAGCCUAUUGAUCACUCCUUCACUCAUCUGCCACAGUAAACUUGUCAUUACUAUGUCAUUUUCUAUGCAUAGUGUCCUCCAAGUUUCCACAGACCAUCCUAGCAAUAAGUUAGUAUUAUAUUCCAGGAUCCUAUCCAAGGUGUUAAAUCCUGUAUUAUGAAAGAGUGCUCAUAUGCCACCAAAAUCUCAUUUAUCUAUGCUCUUUCCCCCAGAAUUGUCACCCUCAUGAUCUGUCCCAUACAUAUUUUUGUGACUCUUACCUGUAUAUGGAAGUUAUGUCUUUCAGGUCCCUGAAGGUAAGAUCCUUUUCCUCCCUAUCAAUUACCCCAAAUUCCCUGAACAAGUUAUGUUGUGAUUUAUUCCCUUUUGGGGGAGGGUGGUCAGGAAAAGAAAUGACAUAAGAGCUUGUUAUCUUUCAAGGCAUAAGACACUGUCGCAUCUUCAGGCAUGGGAGGAGUGUUAGCCUUUAAUACAGGAGUGGACCAUUUCUAAAGUUCAGAAAUUCAGAGGAUUCUGGGGGUUCAAAUUUGUGUGCAUCAAUUCAGACCUCUCAAUCCCUUUCUCAUAGGCACACUGCUUUUACUACUUUCCCACUAAUGUUGAAAAUUCAACUGUGCUAUGCUUGUAAUUAAAUCUUAGGCUUGAUUCUCAGUCUUUUCUCCUGCUAUGACAAGGAAACUGUCUAGGAUAUAUGCUUCGCCUUUAGUGAUGAAUCACCCUUAGCAUUUCCUUAUCUUUCUCUAAGACAUAAAUAUUCUUCAGCAUCAGCACUUACAUCCAAAGCUCUUCUAAUUAUCAUAUCCCCAUAAUUUUCAAACAUGGCUAUUUCAUUCAUUUCUAUCAAUACACCGCCUCAGUUCAACCUCCAGGGAAGUUUAAACAAUUGAAGAGCUACCAUCCUAGAAGCCACUAGUGUUGCUAUAACUACUAUAGUUGGUGGGAUUCUUAUGGCCAGAU